rnacentral:tmRNA from 1 species
AGGAUCGACGAGGGUGUAAAGGACGGCUUUUUGCCCGUGAUAGUUCCGACGUUAUCGGGCUAAACAUAUAGUUGCCAAUGACAACUAUGCUCCGGUUGCAGUGGCUGCUUAACGCAGUCUGAGCACCGAAAUCAAAGCCCUGGGGCUUAGCCGCUUCAGGCGGGGUUCGCCGGCACCUGGCAACAGAAGCCGGCACU